GUAGGUGAACCUGCGGUUGGAUCAUUAACAAUUAUUAUUGAGCUCUUCCUCCCUCUUUUUACCGAGGGGGUGGUAGGUUCUCCAACACUUGUGUGCACUGUUUAUUGUCUCUCGGCGUUCGAGGGUUGGGUUUUGGAUGGAGCUUGCUUCAGAUAUACCCUUGGGCUUUUAAUACGGCCUUGACCUACCCCUGAGCGCCAACUUAAAAACUUGAAUUUUAUACUAUAAGCCUUUAAUUUUAAAUUUAUAA
rnacentral:misc_RNA from 1 species